ACGGAGGCAGCAGUGGGGAAUAUUGCACAAUGGGGGAAACCCUGAUGCAGCGACGCCGCGUGAGUGAAGAAGUAUCUCGGUAUGUAAAGCUCUAUCAGCAGGGAAGAAAAUGACGGUACCUGACUAAGAAGCCCCGGCUAACUACGUGCCAGCAGCCGCGGUAAUACGUAGGGGGCAAGCGUUAUCCGGAUUUACUGGGUGUAAAGGGAGCGUAGACGGCGAUGCAAGUCUGAAGUGAAAGGCGGGGGCUCAACCCUUGGACUGCUUUGGAAACUGUAUUGCUAGAGUGCAGGAGAGGUAAGUGGAAUUCCUAGUGUAGCGGUGAAAUGCGUAGAUAUUAGGAGGAACACCAGUGGCGAAGGCGGCUUACUGGACUGUAACUGACGUUGAGGCUCGAAAGCGUGGGGAGCAAACAGGAUUAGAUACCCUGGUA
rnacentral:rRNA from 1 species